UACGGAGGGUGCAAGCGUUAUCCGGAUUCACUGGGCUUAAAGGGUGCGUAGGUGGGUUGUUAAGUCAGUGGUGAAAUCUCCGAGCUUAACUUGGAAACUGCCAUUGAUACUAUCAGUCUUGAAUAUUGUGGAGGUCAGCGGAAUAUGUCGUGUAGCGGUGAAAUGCUUAGAUAUGAGAUAGAACACCAGUUGCGAAGGCAGCUGGCUGGGCAUAUAUUGACACUGAGGCACGAAAGCGUGGGGAGCAAACAGG
rnacentral:rRNA from 1 species